AUGGGUGCUAUUGAUGUGGUUGGACGAGAUCCUUAUGGUAAAAUACUGGACUGGUGCUGCUGUCUGUGGCCAUCCAUUGAAGAUCCUUUGCUGUUGGAAAGCUGAGCAUGCCGUGAAGCUCUCAUCUUUGCAAGAAGUAGGGGGUUUUCGAAAGUAAUUUGUAAAAGGGGAUUCAGUCAUAGUUUACUCAUAUAGGGGCCAUCCAAUUCCUAUUGCUAUCCAGGAGACCGUAGCAGAUGGUUUGGAGCUUUUGAAGCGGCUGCAGGAGGGUCAUUUUUCUGCAGUCAAAUGUCGAUGUAACCAAGCAUCCAUAUGCAUAGAUGGACUUUGUUCUUAACUUCCUACCACCUUGAUGGUGGAGUUCUUGAAUGAAUCCUUUAUCUUUGAAAAAAAAAAAAAAAAGAGAGACUAACAUGGGAC
rnacentral:misc_RNA from 1 species